GGCAUGGUGGUUUAGUGGAUAGCACGUUUGCCUCACACCUUCGGGAUUGAGGGUUCGAUUCCCACCUCCACCC